rnacentral:misc_RNA from 1 species
AACGCACCUUGCGCUCCUUGGACAUUCCGAGGAGCAUGCCUGUUUGAGUGUCAUUAUAUUCUCAACUCCACCAGCUUUUGUGGCUGGCUUUUGGAGCUUGGAUGUGGAGGUUUUGCUGGCCUUUGUGGUCAGCUCCUCUGAAAUAUAUUAGCGGAACCGUUUGCGAUCCGUCACAGGUGUGAUAAUUAUCUACGCCAGUGGGUUGCUCUCUGUCUGUUCAGCUUAUAAUCGUCCUGUAACAUGGACAAACUAUAAUGAACGUUUGACCUCAAAUCAGGUAGGACUACCCGCUGAACUUAA